rnacentral:rRNA from 1 species
CCUACGGGCGGCAGCAGUGAGGAAUAUUGGUCAAUGGGCGCGAGCCUGAACCAGCCAAGUAGCGUGAAGGAUGACUGCCCUACGGGUUGUAAACUUCUUUUAUAACGGAAUAAAGUGAGGCACGUGUGCCUUUUUGUCUGUAUUUUAUGAAUAAGGAUCGGCUAACUCCGUGCCAGCAGCCGCGGUAAUAAGGAGGAUCCGAGCGUUCUCCGGAUUUAUUGGGUUUAAAGGGAGCGUAGAUGGGUUGUUAAGUCAGUUGUGAAAGUUUGCGGAUAAACCAUAAAAUUGCAAUUGAUACUGGCAGCCUUGAGUACAGUUGAGGUAGGCGGAAUUCGUGGUGUAGCGGUGAAAUGCUUAGAUAUCACGAAGAACUCCGAUUGCGAAGGCAGCCUACUAAACUGCCACUGACAUUGAUGCUCGAAAGUGUGGGUAUCAAACAGGAUUAGAUACCCGAGUAGUC